rnacentral:rRNA from 1 species
UACAGAGGGUGCAAGCGUUGUUCGGAAUUAUUGGGCGUAAAGCGCGUGUAGGCGGCAUGGCAAGUCGGGUGUGAAAGCCCUCAGUUCAACUGAGGAAGUGCGCCCGAAACUGCUUUGCUUGAGUGCUGGAGAGGGUCGCGGAAUUCCCCAAGUAGAGGUGAAAUUCGUAGAUAUGGGGAGGAACACCGGUGGCGAAGGCGGCGACCUGGACAGUAACUGACGCUGAGACGCGAAAGCGUGGGUAGCAAACAGG